rnacentral:rRNA from 1 species
GCAUGUCGAGCGGUAGCACAGGGGAGCUUGCUCCCUGGGUGACGAGCGGCGGACGGGUGAGUAAUGUCUGGGAAACUGCCUGAUGGAGGGGGAUAACUACUGGAAACGGUAGCUAAUACCGCAUAACGUCGCAAGACCAAAGAGGGGGACCUUCGGGCCUCUUGCCAUCAGAUGUGCCCAGAUGGGAUUAGCUAGUAGGUGGGGUAAUGGCUCACCUAGGCGACGAUCCCUAGCUGGUCUGAGAGGAUGACCAGCCACACUGGAACUGAGACACGGUCCAGACUCCUACGGGAGGCAGCAGUGGGGAAUAUUGCACAAUGGGCGCAAGCCUGAUGCAGCCAUGCCGCGUGUGUGAAGAAGGCCUUCGGGUUGUAAAGCACUUUCAGCGAGGAGGAAGGUGGUGAGCUUAAUACGUUCAUCAAUUGACGUUACUCGCAGAAGAAGCACCGGCUAACUCCGUGCCAGCAGCCGCGGUAAUACGGAGGGUGCAAGCGUUAAUCGGAAUUACUGGGCGUAAAGCGCACGCAGGCGGUUUGUUAAGUCAGAUGUGAAAUCCCCGGGCUCAACCUGGGAACUGCAUUUGAAACUGGCAAGCUAGAGUCUCGUAGAGGGGGGUAGAAUUCCAGGUGUAGCGGUGAAAUGCGUAGAGAUCUGGAGGAAUACCGGUGGCGAAGGCGGCCCCCUGGACGAAG